rnacentral:tmRNA from 1 species
GGGGGCGUAAAGGUUUCGACAGGGAUUUUGAAGUAUCGGAAGCGAGCAGCGGUGCGGAACCGCUUUAAAAUCCGCAACUGAAAAAUAACUGACAACAAUAAAGUUGCCUUAGCUGCCUGAUUCAGGCGGCUCAUCCGACCCGGUACUACCGCGAACCGGUAAGGGUGUCAUUUUAGCGGUGAACAUGAACGCGAAGUCGCUUCACUUCGCGUCACGAAGCAGAAGCUACCAAGCAUGUCAGCCCGGCAUUUGGCGGUCGUGUAAGGGAAUGUAAACAGAUGCCUGCGCUCGGAGAUGCCGGUAUGAAUGAAUUUUUGGACGGGAGUUCGACUCUCCCCGCCUCCACCA